UAUGUGUAAUAUUGCUAUUAAAUUUCUUAAAAUCGACACUUAUUUAUCUUGUUUGUUUCUCACCUUCACCCUCAAAGAACCGGGUCAUCAUUCUGAAAUGAUACAGAAAGUACAAUAAUUGCUUUAGGCAUUGAAUGGAAUCUUAUUUAGCGGUAUCUUGCAAAAUGACAUUAAUGGGGGCAACAUUUUAACGGAUGAUGUAAUACGAUACACUAAGAUUUUAUUUCAUCUUGGGCAUUUCCAGAUGUAUUUUUUUCGACUGGGGACCUUAUACCAAAUUGGAUGUUACUUUUUGUCUGACACAUAAGAGUGGAAUUCAGAAGCCCAAGAUUGGUUUGACCUUAAUUUUUAAUUUUCAUUAGAAAUUCUGUGUGAUUCUCAAUUUUUAUCUUACAUUAAUGGAGCUUUAGUGGUGUUUUUCCAGUUGAGGUAAUUGAACACUUCAAACAGAAAACUUUCACCUGUCAUUCACCUAUGUUGGUGAGAAAGGAUCGGCCGCUGUGACACCAUCUGAAUCUCCCAUCGCCUCCUAGUAGUUGACAGAAAAAUCUAACAGUCCGUCCCCGUUCGUAGUCUGUGAAGAACCGAUUCGUUCAAUCAUCGUCCGUUGUAGAAAAAGACGGUGCUGGUUAAGCUUUGCUAUGUGUUCAGUUAGUAAUGGCCCCGUAGUUUGAUAUUAUAGCAAGAUGCCUACCGAAACUCUGCUCAUGUAAACAAACGUGACCGGGAGAGAGGUGUCCUGCAUUUGUUUUUUCUCACACAUCAUCCUCGGAAAGACUACACGAAUGAAGCAAUAUUUAGCUUCUACAUACGACUUACAGUUGGCUACAUACGUUUCAGUUGCAACUGGCAAUAUGGCAAGCAUAAACGUACCGGCACAUCUGCCUUAAGAGCACGAACUGGAAACUUGACCGGCUUACCUACCUGUUAGGGUUUGGGCCGCGCUAUACUGUCCGACACAGUAAGAAAAAGGGCAUCGAAGAGGGUCACAUAGCUCGAUGAUUAGCUGCCAGCAUCCAUGAACCUUACAUGGGGAGGCUUACGAACAACCUACAAGCUACGAUUACCUCUUCUCCACCUUCAGUUUGUGAAUCGAUCUUCAACAUGUAGUGAACG